GUCCCCUUCCAAACCUGCAGUUCUACGAUUCUGUGAUUCUAUGAAGUCCAAAAUGGCGUAAGGCUGCUGUUCAUUAACAAUGCAGUUCAAUGGGACUCCCUGUUAUAGAAUCAUAGAAGCUGUAGAAUUGGAAAGGGGAC